AUUUUAUGAGAACGCUAUCUAUCCCUUCCCCAAAUAACUUUUUAUAGGCGCCAGCUACAAUCGUAAUGAUAUUUAAAUUAUUUGCACUGCAAUAUUAUUUAUUGUAGUGCAAGUAAUGUAUAACUCCAUCACUCUUUCACAAUUUUAUGGGCAACUACAGUUCCUGGACAUUCUUUUGCUAGAAUUGCAGAUUGCAAAUGACUCAUCCGAAUAUUGUGAUGAAAACAUGAUUUUUUUAAGUUUAGGUAUUAAUUUGUGUAGCUCUUAAACAAAAAAAGAAGGAAAUACCCUCAGCAGUUAUUUUGUAAUUUUAAUUAUUCUAUUUCUUGAAGAUGAACG
rnacentral:misc_RNA from 1 species